CGUGGCGGACGGGUGAGUAACGCGUGGGUAACCUGCCUCAUACAGGGGGAUAACGAUUGGAAACGAUUGCUAAUACCGCAUAAGCGCACAGUACCACAUGGUACAGUGUGAAAAACUCCGGUGGUAUGAGAUGGACCCGCGUCUGAUUAGGUAGUUGGUGGGGUAACGGCCUGCCAAGCCGACGAUCAGUAGCCGACCUGAGAGGGUGACCGGCCACAUUGGGACUGAGACACGGCCCAA
rnacentral:rRNA from 1 species